CGCCCGCCGGCCCCGGGGCGCAGGGCGCGAGUGUGCGCGGGGCCGGGCCGCGCGCGGGACACAAAAGGGAAUGGACGCGCGGGGGCGGCGGGCGGGGAGCCGCGGCCCCACCGAAGGGACCCCCGGCCGCCGAGCGGCCUCUACGUCAGCGCCCCGGGUGGCGCCGCCUCCGCCCGCCGGCCUGGGCCGCCGCUCCCGCCGAGGGAAGGCGGGCCGGGGACCGCGGGGACAAGGCGGGCUGGGGGACCUGCCGGGGAGAAGGUGCAGCCAGCAACCCCCCCCUCCCCCCGCAGGAUCCUGACUCUCCUGAUGCUCAGCCCCCAGAGGAGGACAGAAUUCAGGGAGCCAGGGGCGCACUCACACAGGUCAGCUCUAGAAAGCGAGAGUGAUUAUGUGGAAUUGGAGCCCCACCCCCAUCCCUGCUCAGAGCCCCCAGGCCUCGUGUCCCUGUCAGGAUUGUGGCUCUAGGGCAGCAGGGCUAGAGGGGUGGGGACAAGAGGUGCUGCUGCCUUGCUCUGGGCGCUGCAGCCUCAGCAGGGGGGUCAGGGUCUGGGGUGGGGGGCGCUGAGGGCUCCUUCCCCCCAGCUGCAUCCAUGCUCCUCUGGGGGUGCCUGAGCAGUGGCUUCCAAUGUGCAGUAGUGUUCUGCCCCCUGCUCCUGGGGGAUGCUGGCCACCUGAAGCACAGGACUCCAGCCUGGACGGAAAGCCUGGUCCAGGCCACUCGGCGGCGGCAGCCCGGACAGGCAGGUGCUCAGCUGAGUCUGCGGCCUCUCGGGACCACCUGUCCCACUUGCAGGCAGCUCCGCUGAAGUGCUCCGUCCUCUUGAGGCAAAACCCGCCCUGGCGUGGCCAGCCCCGCUCCCCCAGCAGAUGACCCCUGGACCGCAGCCUGGCAGUGCCCAUGGCAGGGCCUUAGCUGGGAGGCACCAGCAUGAGGAGUGAGAGUGGAGAAGACUCUGGGCAAUGGGGGGGGGGGGGAGCUCCCAACCCCCCGCCAGCCCCGUGCUCAGCGCCUUCCUCCCUGAAUUGUAGCUGUCACCCUCCCCUCUGGAGUCCUUCUGCCUGGACCUGGUGCGGACUCUGGGAAGCACUGUCCACCAGGAGCACCGUGGUGCGAGUUAGUGCGGAUGAACAGUGCUGAGUCUGCAGGGCAGCCCAGGGCGCCCGCCCGGGCACUGCUGAGGGACCGUCCCCUCACACCAGCAGUGUCCGUCUCCACCCUUGGCGGUCCAGCAAGGCCAGAAGUUUCUGCAGGCCCCUGGGCUGCAGCCCUCCUCCCACACCUCCAUCUCCUUGUUUACAAACAAGGACAGCGUCACCAGCAUUUAGCAAAGGCUCACCAGAGGCUUGCUUAGUUCCUUGCAGGCUCCAGCAGCAAUCCCCACCCCCACCCCACCCCACCCCCCACCCCCGCUGCCUGGGAAGCACACAGCAUCAGCCCUGGGCCACCCCUGCUCCACAGACAGGCACCCAGAUGGGUGCCAUUCCACAGGACACUGAGGCUGGAAGCAGCUCAGUCCCUCCCGGAGGAGUCAGCCUGCUGGCGGGAGGGAGAAGCAGGCCGGGAGCCCCCACUUCCCCGGGGCCUGAGGCCAUUCCAGCCACCCUGCCCUCCCUGUCUGCACGCGUCCACUGCAUCUGGAAGUGUCCGCAGAGAUGCUCGAAGCUCUUCCAAAGCCGCGGGCCGACUACACACUAAAGGAGAAGCUAAUUCCUGGCGGGGUGUGUGCGCCCACCCAGAGACUGCUCCUCAUCUCCCAAGUGCCAGCAGCACCCAAGAACCCUGUGUGGUGGCUUCUCCCCUCAUCAGUGGGUUCUCUCUAUCCAUUGAUGCCUGCCCU